UUUAAAAUUUUAUAAGUUAUAGUAAAAUUGGUACAAUACAGAGAAGAUUAACGCGAUCCGUUUGCAAGAAUAUAUGACAUGCACAAAUCAAGAAAUGGUCCAAUUUUUC
rnacentral:snRNA from 1 species